ACUGUGGGGCACUCACGAGAAGCCUGGACGUGCUGGAUCCGAUUUGAGCAGGCAGGGCCGGGCAGGUGGGGCGCUCUAGCUCCGUUUCCGGGGAGGCACUUCACCUGCCUAACCUGCACUCAGGAAAGAACCCUGGCAACCAGGAUUAUAUUUUGUGACUCAGUCCUCUGACUACAGGUGAUUAGGUAGAGGGACCUGAUGACUCCCUGAAGCUUCUCCUGCUCUCCCUUCAGCAUCUCAAUGUCGUUGGUUCGCUCUUCGAUCUCCUUCUGCAGACUGCUGAACUGCAGAUGCAAAUAGCAACAGCAAAGACCCCUGAAAUCUCAGAGCUCAUCUCCACUCCUUCCAAAUCAUGAAAAAAAGCUCCCUAUCACUGAUCAACUGUGAGCUGGACCACCUCUCUUCUGUCAACUGAAAACACUGAGUAUACAACAUUUCUAAACUUUGGGGGGAGUGAGUUUUUGCAGAAUUUAAAAUGGCUCAGAAAUUUCCUAGGCCAAAUAGAUGAUCACAUUGACCUUAAAAUGAUCACAUUGACCUUAAAAAGUUUGAAUCAGUGGCCCACCAAGUUCACAGAUGCUGGCGCUACCCAAUGAGCCAUCUUAGUCAUGUCCAAGACUGUCCUCUAGACUUCCUAGCAAUAUGAUUUCUAAUACGAAGAAACAGGAGCACACUUUGAACUUGGCUUCUGUAAGGCUAAAGGUUUUGGUGAAACUGUGACAAUUCCACAAGGAACGGUGAAUUGAAUAGCCCUUCACUCAAUCACCAGUGAACUAAAAAUACUUGCUCUACCUUGUAAACAAAGCUCUUUUACCUGUCUCCUUCUCCCACCUGUGGAGCCUGAACGGGAGCCACCAGAGCCCAGGACACUUCCAGGCUGAGAAGACCUUAUUUCCAUUUCUAAUUGAUCUUACUUGGAAGUGAAAGCCCAAACAGAGUCUAUCAGCCACAGGGGAGCUCGACAUCACUGCCAAAAGGAGAGAGGCCAGAUGGCUGCCUUUUCAGAGGAUGUGGCAAGGUCUGUCUGCCCCCGCAGGAGCACCUGCCAGUGCUCCUUUCCUAACCUGCUCACUGGAGGUGAGGACGUUCAGUCACGAGCACCUCUUCAGCAAAGCCCACCUCCCUUUCCCGCUUGAUUCCGCGGCCAUCCUUAUCGAAGACCUUCCAGGUGAACAGGCAGCCAUCCUCAGCAGUAGUCAGCAGGUACUGAUCAUCAAAGGUGAGCAACAUCUGCAGGGUAAAAGAUCAUAGGAAGCUUUUUAGGGCCAUAGAUGACCAGGGUGACUGUGCAAGGCCUCCAUCCACACAACCUGGGAAUAGCCUCAUAGCAAGGCAGAUCUGGUUCUGGGUAAGAACGAGGCAGGAGCCCUCACAGACUUCUUUCUGUGAACAAAUGAAAAGAAGCAAGGCUAUAGCUACAUUCCCUGUGGAUUUGAACUCUUUGAGUGAAAUAUGACCUAGAAUGUAUAAAGAAUUCUUAAAACUCAGUAGUAAAACAACCUGGCAAUCCAAAGUGGGCAAAAGAUUUGAGGACACUUCAGUGAAGAGGAUAUAUAGAUGGCCAUGUAUGCACAUAAAAAGAUGUUCAACAUUAUUAGUCAUUAGAGAAAUACAAAUUAAGACCAUGAUGAGAUAUCACUACACACCUAUUAGAACAGCUAGAAUAAAAAUUGUGACAAUCCCAUGUGCUGGCAGUGAUGUAGAAAAACUGAAACAUUGCUGAUAGGAAUGUAAAAUGGUACAGCGAAUCUGGAUAAGCUUGGCUGCUGCUUAAAAAAUUAAAUACCCACUUCCCAUCAGAUUCAGCAAUCAUACUCUUGGGCAUUUAUCCCAGAAAAGUGAAAAUGAAAGCCCACACAAAAACCUGCACAAGAUUGUUCAGAGCAGUUUUAUUUGUAAAAGUCAAACUAGGAAAAAAAAAUCAAAAUAUCCUACAAAGGAUGGAUGAUUUAACAAAUUGUGCAUACUGUGGAAUAUAACUCAGCAAUAAAGCGAAUCAACUAUGAGUACACAAAACACCUGUUAGAUCUGAAGAGCACUAUGCUGAGUGAAAACCCCACCCUCAGAAGGUCACAUAAUGUAUGAUCCAUUUAUAUACAAGUCUCAAAAUGACAAAAUUAUAGAAACAGAAAAAAAGAAUGGUUGGUAGGGAUUAGGGAUGGUGGGGAGGGGUAGGCAUGACUACAAAAGGGUGGCAAGAAGUAGGUCUAGGUGGUGAAGGAGCAAUUCUGCAUCUUGACUGUGGUAGGUUAUAUAAAUGACCCAUGUGAUGAAAUGACCAGGCUCAUACUCAGGCAGUGGACCAGCGCCAGUUUUCUGGUUUGAUAUUGUACUAGAGUUACAUAAGAUGAUCACUGGGGUAAACUGGAAUGAAGGCUACACAGGACCUCUGUGCUAUCUUUAAAAUUUCCUGUGACCCUGUAAUUAAUACCUAGUAAAAAAUUAAGACAAAAAAGUUAACUAUAAAAAAUGCCUUCUCAUAAUUAGCAAUGUGCAGAACUUUAAAAAUAGUAAUACUCUUUUACUUAGGAGUUCUAUCUCUGUCUAGGAAUUGAGCCUUAAAAAAUUGUCAGAGAUGCACAUAUAAAUUUGCAGACUAGGAUGUUCAUUAUAGUUCAUAAUGUAAAUGCCUAGUUGAAAGAGAAGAGUUAAUAACUUAUGGUCCAUCAUAUAAUAGGAUAUACAAACACACACACACA